UACACACCACUCUGUUCCAAAUUUUUUUAAAAAAACUAAAGACACGGAUAAGACCCCCCCAGUCUGCAUACUGCCGAGUUCUUACGGAAAAUUUUCCUGAGAUUUGAUUUUAGGGUUUCAGUUGUUUCUGCUUCUUGGGCUCUAAAUUGUCCAUUCAGGUAAGGUUUUCGCUUCUCUCUGUGCAAGUAUGUUUUGAAUUUAGUCUUUAUUUUGCUCUGUUUGGCAGGUUGGAUAAUGUAGGAGAACAUGCGGAAAACAUGGUUCCGAAAGUCUUUAGUUUAGUAUCUUGAGGCCUUUCAAGAAAACAAAUUAUGCCUGUGAAACUUGCUUCUUGUACUUUUCUUGCUUUGUUUACUGUCUGUCUCUCCAAGUGAACAAGAGCUUUAGGAAUUGGUUUUCCCCCAAGACUUUUUCUCCCAUUUCUUGGCAACCAAACGGAGGAUUUUCUGGUUUUUUUUUUUUUUUUUUUUUCCUUCAAUACUUUUCUUUUCUUGUUUCUGUUUUUAUGUAGUGAAUAAUGUAUUUGAAAAUUCAUUUAAACCUUUUGAAUCUUUGAAGGUUCAUGUUAUGGUAAAACCCUAAUUUCGUGGUCAAAAGCUUGAGAAAUUAGGAUUUCUUGUCAGUUGUGGAUAUGAGUUUUGAGGAGGCAACAUGCAAUGGAGAUGGUAUGGAAUGCAUUCAGGGGGUACAGUUCUUGAAAAGUAAAGCAGUGGCUAGUGCAUGUGAAGUCACUGUUAUACGUAAUUCUGGGAAUGGGAGCACUAGCACAAGAGAAGGUUUUCUAACCUACAAGAGGAGGAGGUAUGCUGGGCAGAGUUUGGGGAGCAAAGUGCUAGGAUGUGGCAGAAAUUCUGUUGAAGCAGCUAGUCAAUUGGCAGGCCAGGUAUACAAAGAUGUUCUUUGCUACGUGUUUAUCAGAUUAUUUCUUGUUGGAUUUUACCGGUCAUAAAGUUAUUUGUUCACAUUUUCUUCGUAUUUCAAAAAAUUAUUUGUGAUUUUGAGCUUUUGAAGUACAAGGAUCUCUAAAAUGGUAUUGUGCAAGUUCGAACAUAAACUCAGCUUUUGUUGAACUAUAAACAC
rnacentral:lncRNA from 1 species